rnacentral:lncRNA from 1 species
GGAAAGAGUAGGUCUGGCUAAAGCAUUGGGUAUGUGUUAUGGCUCACUUUCCUAAAUAAAGUGGUACCUUGGUUGCGUGUUGAGUCCCACAAUGCCACCCCCCAAAAAAUUCACACUUCACACAUCAAUUUUUGUUUAAGGUUUUUGGCAUAAUUUUGGCCACAACUUUAUUCAAAAUACAAAAAUGUGAGUGGUUGCUUAGGCAUUGGUUAUGACUAUCUGUCCUUGCCCUCAGGGACAGAGCUGGCCUUCCGGACACCAACGGAAGCCAGCGUGGGAAACAAGUAUUGGGUGAGAAAAUGAAGCUGGGUAUCAGUCCCUCACUUCUCACCCUCAUGUUCCUGUGGGGCUUGCACGGCCCAAGUCCGAUUCCAGGGACAAGGACGAAAAGAAUGGCAAGCCCCUGGAUUCCUUUAACGGAAUUCCCUUUCCGCAUCAUUUGGAGGGAUAGGCACUUACCCCUCCAAGCACCAAUUUAACCAAUGCCUAACCGCCAACCUUACAAGUUGUGACGAUUUGCUACGCAGUAGGCAAAAACCAAAUGGCACCAGCCAAUCAGCCAGAUGGCAAAAUUCCUACCAGGCCCCCGCUCCAAGGCGGACGACCCCAUGACAGGCAUAGCAAGGUCAAGCGAUCAAGAAAAAACCACCCUAUUAAAGGGAGGGAGGGCGGGUGAUCCGGUGCAAAAUGGCCAAGAGGACGUCCAACGUCUGGCCCCUGUAUUUAAAGACUCUGACCCCUCCUCCAAAUUGGCAACAAUCAAAACUCCCCAGCAACCCAAUUUUAACCACUUAAAGGCUUGGGUUCCUCACAAAAUCUGCCCAGUAACGGCAGGGUGGCUUGUUCCCCAACCGCAACACGUGCUCUCUGUUAGGGAGAACACGCUUUGCGUGUUGAGUCCCACAAUGCCACCCCCCAAAAAAUUCACACUUCACACAUCAAUUUUUGUUUAAGGUUUUUGGCAUAAUUUUGGCCACAACUUUAUUCAAAAUACAAAAAAUGUGAGUGGUUGCUUAGGCAUUGGUUAUGACUAUCUGUCCUUGCCCUCAGGGACAGAGCUGGCCUUCCGGACACCAACGGAAGCCAGCGUGGGAAACAAGUAUUGGGUGAGAAAAUGAAGCUGGGUAUCAGUCCCUCACUUCUCACCCUCAUGUUCCUGUGGGGCUUGCACGGCCCAAGUCCGAUUCCAGGGACAAGGACGAAAAGAAUGGCAAGCCCCUGGAUUCCUUUAACGGAAUUCCCUUUCCGCAUCAUUUGGAGGGAUAGGCACUUACCCCUCCAAGCACCAAUUUAACCAAUGCCUAACCGCCAUGGAGCCCACAGCUCACCGCCAAACCACUCACAGACCCAACCAAGCCCUCAGCUUGGCCACCACUGCACCCAGCCAAGCCUCAUUCCCUGAGGCAGAAAGAUGCGCGCCAUCAGCUCUGAAAAAGGAUGCAGCCUGAAAAAGAAUCUCAGGAUGGGAAAUCACAUCUCCACCCAGCUCAAAAAUCUUUUUAGACACAGCAGAAUUGAUGCGCUUCCUGGCCCUUUCAGUGGCAGCUGGGCAACGACUACCCUUCCAAACACGUCGUUGCAAAAGCUUUGACCAAAAUAUUUUUGCUGUCGGCACCACUGCCCGCAGCUUCUCCAGGUCACCCAAAAUUGCAGCACGUAGUGAAAAAACAGUCCAUGGAAACCAGGUCGUUCUCACCCAGCUGCACCACGACAGCAGUGGGCGGCCCUUCCAGCAGCACCUGCCUCCGAAUCAGCGGCAGGAAUUCUGGCUGGCGCAUUCCCCGUCUGGACAGCCAAGGCAACUGCACAUGUGGAGGAAGGCCGAGACCCGGUCCCAAACCGGACUGCCGUGCACUGAUGCUGUGCCCCACCAUCCAGAUGCGGACAGCUGCUAAACCUAAGAUAAAACAAGCAAAAAUUGUAAGACACCAAUAAUGUUAACGAACAUAACCUUUGAAUGCAUUCGAUUUCCAAUGACCUGUAUUUUAUUUCCACUGCCUUAUUAACACGCUUUCCGGCCUUCUCGGUGGUAGUUUGUCUAGGCAUUGGUUCCCGACUAGCUGCACCUGACCUCAGCAGGGCAGCACUGACGACUGGGCCCCACCAUAUCGUCAGUACCAGCAAACAUUGUGGGGGAGCAAUGAAUCCCAAGGCAAUCGCAUCCCGCCAGGUGUUGUUCCACAUAGGGGAAAGAUGCACCCCAUCUGCCCUAAAGAGAGCAACAGCCUUGAAGAAAAAUAGCAGGGUGAAAUAUUACAGAACCACCUAAAGCAAGGACCUAUUUUAUUUUAUUUGUUAUUUUAUUUUAUUUACUUUAUUUAUUUUAUUCUAUUGUCCACCGCCUUAUUAACAUGCUUUCUGGCCUGCUCGGUGGUAGUUUGUCUAGCCAUUGGUUCCUGACUGGCUGCACCUGACCUCAGCAGGGCAGCACUGACGACUGGGCCCCACCAUAUCGUCAGUACCAGUAAACAGCGUGGGGGAGCAAUGAACCAGGAUCAGACUCAAGCUCACCCCCAAAUGCUCCCAGGGACUCUUGCGUGCCCCUACCCCUCGAAAGGGGUCGACAAAAGCAUGGUGAAUCCUUGGAUUCCCUUAAUGGAAUAUCUUUGCGCAUUGGAGGGGACAGGUGCUCCAACUUCCCCUCCAGACCACCUUGAACCAAUGCCUUAAAUUAUUUUGAGUCCUGGGAGAGCUGCCAUCAACUCAAUCCAAGCCCUCUUGCAUGCAGGAAUGCAAACUUAUGCUGGAGGAAGACAGCAAACAUUCUCGCCCAGCUGUACCACCAGCACUGCGGGAGGACCUGCACAGGUCACACUCGACCGCACCAAAGGAAGGAUCUCCUCCCAAAGCAUUCCCAUCUGGACAUCCAGUAUAUGUUCACAUGGGCAGGAAGACUGAGAUGGCGCCCCAGUCCAAACUCGUCAACCUGCUUGCCAGCCUAGUGUACAAUGCUGUGGCCCAAAUGUGCACAGCUGCUCC